AGGGAGAUAGAGGACAAUCUGGAUCAGUUGGACCAAAAGGAGAUAAGGGUGACGUAGGAGCAAAGGGAGACCGAGGUGAAAGAGGCGAAGCUGGUGUCAAAGGCAGGGAUGGUUUUCCGGGGCUCCCAGGGGAACCAGGACUGGAAGGAAAGCCAGGUCGACCAGGGUACAGAGGGCUAUCUGGCCUUCCCGGUAACCCAGGAGACCCUGGCCCACAAGGCCCCCAGGGUCCACUAGGGCCACAAGGACCCCCUGGUACACCUGGAGUAAAGGGAAACCAAGGUGAUCAAGGCCUGAGCAUUCAAG